rfam:Gossypium raimondii Chr06_contig_933, whole genome shotgun sequence.
UGUUAAAAAUUUAAUUCAUUCGUAUUGUUGAAAAUUAGUGUGGUCGACGAAAUAACCAAACAAUGGCACGUGACAUGUUACGUAUACCUCAUAUGGGCAUACAUAAACCAAUUUUUAAUAGUAAAAAUAGAUGAAAUUUUUAACA